CCCAGUUCGGCGGACGGCGGCUCGGCACGGUGCUUGCGCUUGUUCCGGUUGGCUGGCUGGCUGGUUACCUUCUCAAGUUCUCAUGCACUGCCGCUGACCCCAACAGUGACGGCGCGCGGCUGCAGCGUCGCGAGACACUAGAAGAUACUAGUGAGAGCAAAGGGCGCCCUAGGCUUGGAGUUUUGUGACCUCGUCACUGCUUGAGGAAACAAGAAGGUUCCACCCGCAGGCAGGAAUAGGCUGAGCUCCUUUAAGUUUUCAGUUGUUAGUCCUCUGGAGUUCUGCUUUAGCUCCCGAACUUUGAGAUCGCUGGAUGUUUGGGUUCUCUUCUUCGAGUUUUUUGCUUUCUCUUUGGCCUGCGUGCCUGUUAUCAUGUUCCCAUGUUCCCAGAGCGAACUUGUAAAGCUGGUCUCCCCAGCAAAACAAUCUAUUCCUUUCUAUAAAAGCAGGGCGUUGUUGACGAAAAAA